UCAGAGAGUGAAGCAGGUCAAGGACUGUUGGCAUCCUCCCCUCCCCCAGCCCCCCUCCCCCCAAGGUAUUUCUUUCCCCCUCCCUCGGAAGAGGCCCACGCAAGCAGCAGCUCUGCCAAACCUGGCGGGGAGAAACAAGCAGGCUGGACUCCAGGCCAUCCUAACGCCCUCUCAGCGGGGCGCCAAGCACACAAACUUUCAGCUCCCUUAACCUGCCGAAGCUGCCACCAUUCGGGCUCAGGCAGGGCAUCCCCUGGGCCAAACAAGCUCCUCCCCGCUACCACCACUGCCCUGUCAGGCCUCUACAGGUCUGUGCUGAAGCCGCCACUGUCCUAUGGGAUCUGGCUUCUGCUCCCGCCAGGGAACCACCCACCUCAGCAGCUAGAGUCCCAGGCCGGCCGACACAUCACCACGACCUCUUGCCUCCCUCCUCCUCUCCCCAGUGCGGUGACCCCCAGGGGAAGGCAGAGGGAGGAGAUGGAUUUGGAGGCUUUUGCUGCUAGCUGCUCCGAUCCUCCAGUCCUCCUGUCCUCCUCCCCUCCUCCCCUCCCCUCCCCACUUGCCCAGUGGGUUUCACUGUCUCUUUCCCCGCCCCCAACCCUACUUGCUUCAAGUCCAUUUCAAGAUGGCGGGAAAUCAUUCAAAAGCCAGAUAUGAAGAAGAAAGUCGGUAUUUCCCAAAGGUAAGAAUCAAGCAACAAGCAUUAGUGCUUCUUCUGGGUUAGUUACAGUACUAAGCAAUCAAAGAAAAAACUAAUGUUUCAUUCUAAUGGAGGAGACAACAAAUAUAUUAAUCAGAAUAUAAAAAAUAAAUACAGAACAAAGUGAAAGUAAUCUCCA
rnacentral:lncRNA from 1 species